UUUGUGGAGGCGGUGGCGCCGUCAGCGGGCGGAUGGAGGCGCCUGGGGCGGCUAGGGACCUGGAGGGCGGAGACGGAGGCUUGGGAAGGGCGAGCGGCCUCGCUCCGCCCCCGACGCGCCUCAGGUAGCGAUUCCAACCCCUCGCUGAGGGGAGUCUCUGCGCGGGCAAAGCGCGGAAAAGGGGCCUGAGCUGCGUUGAAGGGAGAAAGUUGAGGACCGUCCUCCUUUCCCGCGCUCCGCCGGUGUCCUGGUCACCGCAGCUGCAGCUGAUCUUUCCCUGCAGCCUGAUGGAGCUAGAGACGGAGACGAUCCCCAGGAAGAGGAAGGGGGCCCCGAACUCGGCCCUGGCGACAGAGCCGGAUCUCGAGGACGAGGAGCCUAGAGCCAAGAAAGCUCGCUUAUCUUCCAUUUUAUUUGCUGAAAAUUAUGUAGUAACCCAUAAACAGCUGUGUGAGUUGCUGAAGUAUGCAGUUCUGGGUAAAUCCACUGUUCCUGAACCCAGAAAUUCAGCUUGCCUCCUCUGAAAUCCAGUUUUCUAUUUGAUGUCAUUGGGCUGCAAAAGAAGAAAUUAGCCAGAGGUUUUCCUAGGACUGUUAAAGGAGGACCUUUAACUUCUGCCAUUUUAAAGUCCAGCAUCAACCUGCAGAAUGACCCCAUCAUUCAGAAGUAUGGCUUCACUAGAUGCCUUCUGACAAAAAGGGAAAUGGAAAUAUUUCACUUUCCACUACAAGAAAACAAACAGGCAAUCCCUGAUCCGGUGUGGUGGAGUUCCAUCUGGACGGGUG